AACCUUAUGGACCUGCGGGCGUAUACCUGCGGAAGGAUCAUUACCUAGAGUUGUAGGCUUUGCCUGCUAUCUCUUACCCAUGUCUUUUGAGUACUUACGUUUCCUCGGCGGGUCCGCCCGCCGAUUGGACAAUUUAAACCAUUUGCAGUUGCAAUCUGCGUCUGAAAAAACUUUAAUAGUUACAACUUUUAACAAUGGAUCU
rnacentral:misc_RNA from 1 species